GAAUUCGAUUGAGGCAAGCGUUAUCCGGAAUUAUUGGGCGUAAAGCGUCCGCAGGUGGCUUUCCAAGUCUGCCGUCAAAGCCCGAGGCUUAACCUCGGAUCGGCGGUGGAAACUGGAUCGCUAGAGUGCGUCAGGGGUAGGGGGAAUUCCCGGUGUAGCGGUGAAAUGCGUAGAUAUCGGGAAGAACACCAGUGACGAAAGUGCCCUACUGGGACGUUACUGACACUCAUGGACGAAAGCUAGGGGAGCGAAAGGGAUUAGAUACCCCUGUAGUCCUAGCCGUAAACGAUGGACACUAGGUGUUGCUGGUAUCCACUCCAGCAGUGCCGUAGCC
rnacentral:rRNA from 1 species